rnacentral:rRNA from 1 species
UACGUAGGUGGCGAGCGUUGUCCGGAAUUACUGGGUGUAAAGGGAGCGCAGGCGGGGAGACAAGUCAGCUGUGAAAACUAUGGGCUUAACCCAUAGACUGCAGUUGAAACUGUUUUUCUUGAGUGGAGUAGAGGUAGGCGGAAUUCCGAGUGUAGCGGUGAAAUGCGUAGAUAUUCGGAGGAACACCAGUGGCGAAGGCGGCCUACUGGGCUCUAACUGACGCUGAGGCUCGAAAGUGUGGGGAGCAAACAGGAUUAGAUACCCUGGUAGUCCACACUGUAAACGAUGAUUGCUAGGUGUGGGGGGUCUGACCCCUUCCGUGCCGCAGCUAACGCAAUAAGCAAUCCACCUGGGGAGUACGGCCGCAAGGUUGAA